AGGACGAACGCUGGCGGCGUGCUUAACACAUGCAAGUCGAGCGGAAAGGCCCUUCGGGGUACUCGAGCGGCGAACGGGUGAGUAACACGUGAGUAAUCUGCCCCUAGCUCUGGGAUAGCUCCGGGAAACCGGGAUUAAUACCGGAUAUGACCACUUUAGACAUCUGUUGUGGUGGAAAGAAUUUCGGCUAGGGAUGAGCUCGCGGCCUAUCAGCUUGUUGGUGGGGUAACGCCUACCAAGGCGACGACGGGUAGCCGGCCUGAGAGGGCGACCGGCCACACUGGGACUGAGACACGGCCCAGACUCCUACGGGAGGCAGCAGUGGGGAAUAUUGCGCAAUGGGCGAAAGCCUGACGCAGCGACGCCGCGUGGGGGAUGAAGGCCGUUCGGGUUGUAACCCCUUUCAGCAGGGACGAAGCGAAAGUGACGGUACCUGCAGAAGAAGCGCCGGCUAACUACGUGCCAGCAGCCGC
rnacentral:rRNA from 1 species